rnacentral:rRNA from 1 species
ACCAGACUCCUACGGGAGGCAGCAGUGGGGGAUAUUGCACAAUGGGGGGAACCCUGAUGCAGCGACGCCGCGUGGGUGAAGAAGCGCCUCGGCGCGUAAAGCCCUGUCAGCAGGGAAGAAAAUGACGGUACCUGAAGAAGAAGCCCCGGCUAACUACGUGCCAGCAGCCGCGGUAAUACGUAGGGGGCAAGCGUUAUCCGGAUUUACUGGGUGUAAAGGGGGCGCAGACGGCGAUGCAAGCCAGGAGUGAAAGCCCGGGGCCCAACCCCGGGACUGCUCUUGGAACUGCGUGGCUGGAGUGCAGGAGGGGCAGGCGGAAUUCCUGGUGUAGCGGUGAAAUGCGUAGAUAUCAGGAGGAACACCGGUGGCGAAGGCGGCCUGCUGGACUGCAACUGACGUUGAGGCCCGAAAGCGUGGGGAGCAAACAGGAUUAGAUACCCCAGUAAC